rnacentral:lncRNA from 1 species
GGGAGAUGAAGAAGAGGUAGAAACAGAGGGGGAGAUGAAGUAGAAGAGGUAGAAACAGAGAGGGGGAGAUGAAGAAGAGGUAGAAACAGAGGGAGAUGAAGAAGAGGUAGAAACAGAGGGGGAGAUGAAGUAGAAGAGGUAGAAACAGAGAGGGGGAGAUGAAGUAGAAGAGGUAGAAACAGAGAGGUGCGAGUUAAGAGGUUUCAAGUAGUGUUAGCAGCCCUGAGAAAAAACACAUUAAAGCCACCUCUUUAGAUUCUGGCAUGCACAUCCCAGAGAGCCAUCCCAGUAAGCUAAAUUAUGUUGAAAAUACAUAUUUUUCAGACGUUGAAGUUAGGUUCAUUUUAGGUUCUGAAUGAAAGUUAAAAAGACAAUUUUGAUUGCAAAAUAUAUAUUUUUUUAUUGUUAUUUCUCCCAUCUGUCACAUGCACUUAUUUUAACUUUUUCCAAAAGCUUUACAACUGGCAGCUAGUGAUGG